rnacentral:rRNA from 1 species
AGAUGGGAGCUUGCUCCCUGAUGUUAGCGGCGGACGGGUGAGUAACACGUGGGUAACCUGCCUGUAAGACUGGGAUAACUCCGGGAAACCGGGGCUAAUACCGGAUGCUUGUUUGAACCGCAUGGUUCAAACAUAAAAGGUGGCUUCGGCUACCACUUACAGAUGGACCCGCGGGGGCAUUAGCUAGUUGGUGAGGUAAUGGCUCACCAAGGCGACGAUGCGUAGCCGACCUGAGAGGGUGAUCGGCCACACUGGGACUGAGACACGGCCCAGACUCCUACGGGAGGCAGCAGUAGGGAAUCUUCCGCAAUGGACGAAAGUCUGACGGAGCAACGCCGCGUGAGUGAUGAAGGUUUUCGGAUCGUAAAGCUCUGUUGUUAGGGAAGAACAAGUACCGUUCGAAUAGGGCGGUACCUUGACGGUACCUAACCAGAAAGCCACGGCUAACUACGUGCCAGCAGCCGCGGUAAUACGUAGGUGGCAAGCGUUGUCCGGAAUUAUUGGGCGUAAAGGGCUCGCAGGCGGUUUCUUAAGUCUGAUGUGAAAGCCCCCGGCUCAACCGGGGAGGGUCAUUGGAAACUGGGGAACUUGAGUGCAGAAGAGGAGAGUGGAAUUCCACGUGUAGCGGUGAAAUGCGUAGAGAUGUGGAGGAACACCAGUGGCGAAGGCGACUCUCUGGUCUGUAACUGACGCUGAGGAGCGAAAGCGUGGGGAGCGAACAGGAUUAGAUACCCUGGGUAGUCCACGCCGUAAACGAUGAGUGCUAAGUGUUUAGGGGGUUUCCGCCCCCUUAGUGCUGC